CCUACGGGAGGCAGCAGUGGGGAAUUUUGGACAAUGGGCGAAAGCCUGAUCCAGCAAUGCCGCGUGAGUGAAGAAGGCCUUCGGGUUGUAAAGCUCUUUUGUCAGGGAAGAAACGGUGUUUUCUAAUACAGAAUGCUAAUGACGGUACCUGAAGAAUAAGCACCGGCUAACUACGUGCCAGCAGCCGCGGUAAUACGUAGGGUGCAAGCGUUAAUCGGAAUUACUGGGCGUAAAGCGUGCGCAGGCGGUUUUGUAAGUCUGACGUGAAAUCCCCGGGCUCAACCUGGGAAUUGCGUUGGAGACUGCAAGGCUAGAGUUUGGCAGAGGGGGGUAGAAUUCCACGUGUAGCAGUGAGAUGCGUAGAUAUGUGGAGGAACACCGAUGGCGAAGGCAGCCCCCUGGGUCAAGACUGACGCUCAUGCACGAAAGCGUGGGGAGCAAACAGGAUUAGAUACCCUGGUAGUCCACGCCCUAAACGAUGUCUACUAGUUGUCGGGUCUUAAUUGACUUGGUAACGCAGCUAACGCGUGAAGUAGACCGCCUGGGGAGUACGGUCGCAGGUUAAAACNCAAAGGAAUUGACGG
rnacentral:rRNA from 1 species